CACAAAACUGGAAUGUCCACAUCAGACACCAACACUCAGCUGUUUCACCAUCUUCACUAAUGCGUCGGUUUCAAAUCAAGGACGUGAGCCAUACAGAUCCUCAGCUGUAGGCUGCAUGGCUCCCAUGGAUUUAUUUUCUUGUUUUAAGUUCAUGAAUGAAUGACUGAUUUCAAAUGUUUUGCCAGUGUGGUUCACAUUCUGUGGUAAGUGCGGACUAUGUGAAACUAUUUCGGUUAAUUUAGUUUUUGAAAAGUGAUGUGACAAGUAGCCCCAGCUGUGACAUGCAACUACGUAGGCCUAUAUGCGUUGUUAUUAUUCAGAUCUUUGCUACUUUUAAGCUUCCUGUCUGACCAGGUGUGAUGUUAUGAAAUCAUACUUAUGUUAUUAUUGUCGUAUGCAACUGUAUUGGCAGCUGGACAGACUGUUAUAAAAGACCAGAGAGGCGUGUAUUCUUGUCACUUAUUAGAAACUGUGUGUCUAAGUAGCUUCAUAGCACGGAGGUCAUUGGCAUGAACCAGUUUGUAAAAUCAGAUUUGGUCCUUUUAGCUAAUACUUCGUCUUUGUCUUUUGACCAAGACCCUUUGAUACUGAGGAAAAAGUAGCAUACUGUAUUACUAUGUACUCUUUUGGUUCAGUAUAUGGAAAUACAGUAGUUUCUCUCUGUAAACUAAACAACCCUCAACCAUGACAGAUACAAUACAAGAAUGAAAGUUUAUCAGCUGUAGCAAAACAAUGCCACCAAACAAGACAAGCUGGCAUAACUGUGUAAUCAAACGAGUUGGCAGAGUUGUGUUGUAGGUGAAAGAGUACAUAGUACAGUAGAGAAGAGUCAUCAAUGGGUGUGGCAGUCAUGCUAGAUCAAAAGUGCUGUCUGUCAUUGGCUUAGCUAUAUUCAGUAAACAUUAAUACUACUGUAGCUUUAUGAUCGCAAGUAAAUUCAAGUCAGUUGUUCAAGUUUUAACAGAGACAGCUGACCAAAGUGCUGGACAGGCAGAAUUUCCUAAAGUUAUCAAUAAAUCUCCUUGUGUUCCUUUCAGGUGUGACAGGAUAUGAAUGACGAUGAGGUUGGCCGUGCUGCUUCUGUUUUUUCAUGUGACCUUCACGGGUGAAACAGGUGAAAUUGUGAAACACAAUUUGGUAAACGGCUCCAUUGAACUUAUUGGUGAAGUGCCAAAAGGGAACAUCACCGAAGUUUUAUGGAUGCUUGAAAAGGACAAGGUUGCUGAGUGGGAGAAGGACGGGGAUAAGUCGACUUCAUAUCAGACUUUCAAGUGCACUGCUUCACUCAGCAAAGACACUUGGGCUCUUACUAUCUCUGAGCUAAAAACGACUUGCAGUGGUCGAUACACACUUCGCAUUAAUGAUGUCCCAACAACAUCUAUACACCUAAUUGUUGCAGCACCAAAGAUGAGCACAAAAGAUGCUCCAUUAUGCAACCCUGGCUUUGGGUUCGGGAUGGCAAUUAUUGGAUUUGUAAUUGGAGUGGGAGUCGUGCUUCUUGGGAUGU